UGAAAGGGCGAAAAGUUAUGGAUUGAAACAAAACAAAACAAUGAUGUAACGACUAUUGAAAGAGAAUCCCCGUCUGUCAGUUCCGCAUACUAGGUGAAGUGUGAACGAGGCGAAUGAGUUGUGUGUAAUUGAUCUAACCAUCGAGAGCUAAUUAAUACUAACUAUGUCUGAGAUACUUACUUAUAUUACACGAAUGGAAGCCACCUCAGACUGUUAUAAAAAAAACUACAUUAGACGUAUAGUGAAAAAGGAUAGUGUGACGCGCGAAUUGUGCAAAUUUGAUGUGAGGGUUCAUGAAUAACCCCAGUGAACCCACGAACAAGAGAGGAAUGAGAACAAGAGCCAAGAACGAAUGAAAUAAUUUGUGAUAUAAGUAAUGAUGAAAAAUAAAUGAACAUGCAAAAUUAGAUGUAAAGAAAAUAAGAUGCGGAUGGAAAAAAAAGAAAGAAAAAAGAAAAAGUGGCAACUCGAAUGUAUGCGAACGCCCCCCACCAGGUGAGUGGCGAUACUCUUGGCUUGACGAGCAAACCGCUCACCUGUGAGGGACCGCCUGUAGAAACCCUCGCCUUUGUCGUCGUGCUUCGUAAUUAAAAACCUCGGGACCUUGGGCGCUGCUCGACGUCGCCACCGUCGUCCGCAGCACCGGCAACAAGACCCGGGGUUUUUCGCCCUAGCUUGGCGAACACCGAGGCACGACAACAGAUCACAGCCUCUCGACAAGGGUGGGGACCCCCCUGUCGCCCCCCGAGGAGUCGUGUGCUCCACCGGCUUCGGCAUACGGACAAAGCGUUAGUAGAAAAACGGAAUGUAUGCGAAGCCCUCUUUGGAACAGUACCCGCAUGAGACAUUUGCAGCGUUCGGGCUCUUAUCUGUUUGUUUCUUUAUUUCGAGUGGAUGGUAAUUAUAUCGUAUUUGUGUGUCUGGUGUGUAUGCGUGUUGGGGGCGCCUCGUGUAUUAUCUACGUGCCAAUACCGCAGCGUGCUGAAUUUUUAUAUAGUUUAUAGGUUGUAUCGUUUGUAUAGUUUGGAUUUAUAAAGUUAUCAAUUAUGUUACCUAUGAUUAAUAAAUUAGAAAUAUC